rnacentral:rRNA from 1 species
GAUGAACGCUGGCGGCGUGCCUAAUACAUGCAAGUCGAGCGAACAGACGAGGAGCUUGCUCCUCUGACGUUAGCGGCGGACGGGUGAGUAACACGUGGAUAACCUACCUAUAAGACUGGGAUAACUUCGGGAAACCGGAGCUAAUACCGGAUAAUAUAUUGAACCGCAUGGUUCAAUAGUGAAAGACGGUUUUGCUGUCACUUAUAGAUGGAUCCGCGCCGCAUUAGCUAGUUGGUAAGGUAACGGCUUACCAAGGCAACGAUGCGUAGACGACCCGAGAGGGUGAUCGGCCACACGGGAACUGAGACACAGUCCAGACUCCUACGGGGGGCCGCAGUAGGGAAUCUUCCGGGAUGGGCGAGUGCCUGACGGAGCAACGCCGCGUGAAUGAUGAAGCUCUUCGGAUCGUAAAGCUCUGUUAUUCGGGAAGAACAAAUGUGUAAGUAACUAUGCACGUCUUGACGGUACCUAAUCAGAAAGCCACGGCUAACUACGUG